GCCAUUUGUGUCAGUAGAAAGUUACUUAACCGAGAGAUGUUACUGGGGAUUUCCACCGAAUGCAGAACGUCUGCGGACCGGCUCCGCUGCGUGUCGGCUCCGUGCUCCGCCGUCCGUCAAUACCCACCAGGUCCGGAUUUGUUGUGUAACAGCUGCAGCCAUGACUGACAGCUG